ACAUGCCUACAAAAUAAUGUUAAUGCAUCAGAUCCCAUUAGGACUUUGUAGUUACGCGUUCUCAGGCUAGAGUAGUACUGGGAUGGGUGACCGUCCGGGAAGUCCUAGUGUUUUACAUGCC
rfam:Picea glauca, whole genome shotgun sequence.